GUGAGGAAUAUUGCGCAAUGGAGGCAACUCUGACGCAGCCAUGCCGCGUGCAGGAAGAAGGCGCUACGCGUUGUAAACUGCUUUUAACCGGGAAGAAACCCCAGGACGUGUCCUGGGUUGACGGUACCGGAGGAAUAAGCACCGGCUAACUUCGUGCCAGCAGCCGCGGUAAUACGAAGGGUGCAAGCGUUAUCCGGAUUCAUUGGGUUUAAAGGGUGCGUAGGCGGAGCGUUAAGUCAGUGGUGAAAUCCUGCAGCUUAAAUGUAGACUUGCCAUGGAUACUGGCGCUCUUGAGUGCGCUUGAAGUGGGCGGAAUGUGCCGUGUAGCGGUGAAAUGCUUAGAUAUGGCACAGAACACCAAUUGCGAAGGCAGCUCACUAAGGCGAUACUGACGCUGAGGCACGAAAGCGUGGGGAUCGAACAGGAUUAGAAACCCCAGUAGUCC
rnacentral:rRNA from 1 species